rnacentral:rRNA from 1 species
CGACCGCUGGCGGCAGGCCUACCACAUGCAAGUCGAGCGCGCCCUUCGGGGUGAGCGGCGGACGGGUGAGUAACGCGUGGGAACGUGCCCUUUUCUACGGAAUAGCCUCGGGAAACUGAGAGUAAUACCGUAUACGCCCUUUGGGGGAAAGAUUUAUCGGAAAAGGAUCGGCCCGCGUUGGAUUAGGUAGUUGGUGGGGUAAUGGCCUACCAAGCCGACGAUCCAUAGCUGGUUUGAGAGGAUGAUCAGCCACACUGGGACUGAGACACGGCCCAGACUCCUACGGGAGGCAGCAGUGGGGAAUCUUAGACAAUGGGGGCAACCCUGAUCUAGCCAUGCCGCGGGAGUGAUGAAGGCCUUAGGGUUGUAAAGCUCUUUCAGCUGGGAAGAUAAUGACGGUACCAGCAGAAGAAGCCCCGGCUAACUCCGU